rnacentral:rRNA from 1 species
ACGGAAGGCAGCAGUGGGGAAUAUUGGGCAAUGGGCGAAAGCCUGACCCAGCGACGCCGCGUGUAGGAAGAAGGCCUUCGGGUUGUAAACUUCUGUAGACAGGGACGAAGAAACGACGGUACCUGUAAAGUAAGCCACGGCUAACUACGUGCCAGCAGCCGCGGUAAUACGUAGGUGGCGAGCGUUAUCCGGAUUUACUGGGUGUAAAGGGUGUGUAGGCGGAGGAUCAAGUCAGAUGUGAAAAUUAUGGGCUCAACUCAUAACUUGCAUUUGAAACUGAUCUCCUUGAGUGUGUGAGAGGUAAAUGGAAUUCCCAGUGUAGCGGUGAAAUGCGUAGAUAUUGGGAGGAACACCAGUGGCGAAGGCGGGUUACUGGACCACAACUGACGCUGAGACACGAAAGCGUGGGGAGCAAACAGGAUUAGAUACCCUGGUA